AGAAGAUGCAACAGAGGACACUGAUGUGGUGGAAGUGGAACAUCUACACAUUUUAGAGGAGGAACCUUUGAAUGGUGAUGAAAAUGCAGAGUGUCAGAGGAACCAUGAAGCAUGUCAGAAUGGUGUAUCUGAGAAUGACUCAGAUUCGGAUAACCAAGAAGAAAAUGAAAACAGAAUCUCUGGGAAUGACUCAAGUGAAACGAGGGACAAUGGAGGUGAGUCUAGAGAUGAAAAUGAAGACGAACUGAACAAACGUUUGAACAAGCAAAGACGACGCGCCAUAGCAUCGGCCAGUGGAGGAAGAAAGGCUCGUGCCUCUCGGAACACCUAUAAAGACAAGGGUAGGAAGUCUUCUAAUAAUUCCAAGAUUCAUAAACAAAUUGGCAUAUGGUGAAGUUUUGUUAUACUUGACGAUGCUCGAAUCCUCGUACCAUCGUGUACUGUCAAUUUUGUCCAUGUACUUUAGGAAGAAAAUUCAGUUCAGGUU
rnacentral:misc_RNA from 1 species